ensembl:piRNA 21ur-10904 ncRNA
UUUCAAUCUAGUUGCUGUUAA